rfam:Thalassiosira oceanica strain CCMP1005 To_g17375, whole genome shotgun sequence.
GACGCCGUGGCCGAGUGGUUAAGGCGGUCGACUAGAAAUCGACUGGGUUUAUCCCGCGCAGGUUCGAGUCCUGUCGGCGUCG